GCUUGAGUGAUGAUCUUUAUUAAGUCGGAUACCCCUUCACUCGUAGUGAGUGACAAAACGCUACUGACAAGC